rnacentral:rRNA from 1 species
GACAGGUGGUGCAUGGUUGUCGUCAGCUCGUGUCGUGAGAUGUUGGGUUAAGUCCCGCAACGAGCGCAACCCCUAUUGUUAGUUGCCAUCAUUCAGUUGGGCACUCUAGCGAGACUGCCGGUAAUAAACCGGAGGAAGGUGGGGAUGACGUCAAAUCAUCAUGCCCCUUAUGACCUGGGCUACACACGUGCUACAAUGGUUGGUACAACGAGUUGCGAGUCGGUGACGGCGAGCUAAUCUCUUAAAGCCAAUCUCAGUUCGGAUUGUAGGCUGCAACUCGCCUACAUGAAGUCGGAAUCGCUAGUAAUCGCGGAUCAGCACGCCGCGGUGAAUACGUUCCCGGGCCUU